AGAUCAGGGAUACAGCCUUCGCUGUUUGAGUGAUCUUUUUGUAAAGAAUUUGUUGGUUCAAAUUGAUACUUUCACAACAAAACAGUAGUCAAUCAGUGAGUGUUUAAUCUAAAGGUUAGUUCUUUUCCAUUACAAGUUGAUUAGCUAUAUUGGAAAUCCACGUGAUAAAUUACGCCACAUCUACACAACCACAACAUAUUGCUGUCAGCACAAUAAACUAUCAUCAAAAUAAUGUGUUUUACCUCAUCUGCCUAUCCAUAAAAAUAGUUGGUCUUGUUUACCUAUAAGAAAUCUGCUAGCACACUCUAGACAAUACAAAAUUAAUAAUCCAAUUAAGAUGUAUAACCACCAGUAGUUAAAGCUGACUUUUUCUAAAGAGAUAAGGGGUCUGAAUUUCUCUUAUUUUACUUGCAUAGUUCUAAGGAGAUUUUCUCCUGGUUGACAUCAUAUAUCUUAGAUGCAUUAAAAAAGCAUGUAUCAACUGGUUUUUAUGAAAUCAUAUUCAUGAGAUAAGACCAGUAGAAUUAUGAAGUUUAACACUCUAUGGUCAUGUUUCCUUGUAAUGGAAACUUUCCCCUCUCUAGGAAGCUGUUGCCUCAUUUAGCAAACUUCAAAGCAUAAAUAGUUAGAUUAUCUCCUGGUUGACAUCUAAUAUCUUAGAUGCAUCAAAAAACAUGUAUCAAGUAUCUCAUAUCCAUGAGAUAAAACCUGUAGAAUUUGAAGUUUUGACAUCUAAUAUCUUAGAUGCAUCAAAAAACAUGUAUCAAGUAUCUCAUAUCCAUGAGAUAAAACCUGUAGAAUUUGAAGUUUAACACACUAAGGUCAUGUUUCCUUGUAAUGGAAACUUCCCCCCCCCUCCCCCCCCCCUCCCCAGGAAGCUGUUACCUCAUUUAGCAAACUACAAAUCAUAAAAAGUUUGGAGUCAUAACUGUCUGCAGUAACAGAAAAGCUGAUAGAGACUAAGUAACACACUCAACCUGUCAAAUAUGCCCAUGUUAAUUUCGGAAUGCAUUUUUAUGAACUCAUAUAUUUACCGCUUGUCCUUUUUCUUGUUUUUUGAUGCCUUUGCCUUCUUCUCUUGGUUCUGCAUCAUUUUUUUGCACUCACCAGAAGACUGGUGGGUUGAUCUCUGAGCUCCAUUUGGAAACUCCAUCUUGCAGAUACAUGCAUAGAUGUCCUUGCUAUUGGUUCCCCCUGACAGUGAAGCAAUUGCUGUGAGAGGACCACGUUGCUGUUGUGCUGCCAAUAAAAAGGUCAAAGUAAGUAUAUUUAUCUUUUCUUAACACAUAUAUAUUGUGCAUUUGAUUCCGUAUAUUUAUCUUUUCUUAACACAUAUAUAUUGUGCAUUUGAUUCCUUGCCAUGUUUAUGUUCCUAAAAUUGAUUCUGUUUAUAUCAUUUACAGCUUCACUAGGAGGAUAGUGAUGUAUGUGCAAUGUUGCACCAGGGACUGAGAGGUCUAAUAUUGACACCUUCUACUGACUAUUGACUCUUUGAGCUAACACAAUGUUUUGUGUAACCUGUAAAUUUGUAGUAAAUAGAAUUGAUUUAUUGUGUUAAAUAUUUAUUGUUCUUUAAUCUAGAUUUAGAGCAACACUAAUGUUUUGUGUAACCUUCAGAUUUGUUGUAAAUAAAAUCUGAUAUUUUUUGUUAAAU
rnacentral:lncRNA from 1 species